rnacentral:tRNA from 1 species
CGGGGCGUAGCGCAGUCCGGUCAGCGCGCACCGUUCGGGACGGUGAGGUCGAAGGUUCAAAUCCUUUCGCCCCGA